rnacentral:tRNA from 1 species
GGUGCGGAUGGCCGACGGCGUGGACGUGCCGAUGCCCGAAGGGCAGGGCGCGGCGGUGCGCUUCGCGCCGUCGCGCGUGUUCGAGCCGGGCGCGUAUCC